GUAUAAAAAGCGAAAAAUUCGCAUUCGGUUUCGGCCCGUACUUUGAGGGUGCAAGUCCUUCUUUAUACU
rnacentral:tRNA from 1 species